GGCUCAAGACAUUUGGGUUCUGAUGCCCCCAGAAACAUAUCUACCAUGAAACUGAUAGACAUGCAUCUUCAACUUCCCCUCUCCCGAAUCCUGGGAGGGGGUCCAGCAAUGUGUUUGCAUGGUCACAUAGUUUUGUCAAAUGUACAAAAGCAAAAGAUAUGCUUGCGUUCCUUUUCUUAUAGUCCCUCCCUGCCAAUAGACACAAUCUGUCUAAAUAAUAUUGUCUAGACAAUAGACGCAAAUUGUCUAAAUGGUGGACCUACAAAACAGGGGUCUUGCCUCUGGAUUCCACUUAAAUUGAGAACCUCACCACCACCCUUCACAAUGCCAUGCACCUUCACGCACAUUAGUUCAUUUAGCCUUAUGGGGUGGGUUUUAGUCUUAAACCACUUUUACACAUAAAGAAAUGGGGAUUCAGAAAGUUUCCAUGACUUGCUCAGGGUUACCUAGGUCCAAGAGAUGGACUAAGAUCCAAAUUCAAGCUGCUGAUCUAAGUCCAGCAUUCUUUCUACUCUACAUCUCUUCCUAGUUGCCCUGAGAAGAGUUAAAUAAUAACCACAAACAGAAAGGCACUCUAAAAAAAAAAAAUGAAGCUACUCUUCUGAUGAACCAGUUAACAGACCCUUAAUAAUUAAUUUUUACUGACUGGCAAGCUCAGAGUUGAGCACCUGACUUGAAGUAUUUCAUUUACCUCUCACCAUAAUCCUAUGAGAUAGAUAUUAGCUUUAGCCUCACUCUGCAGAUGAGGAUACUGAGGCUCAAAAACAGUCACUGAUUUUCCCAAGAACACAUAGUAAGGAGAAAAGCCAAGGCUUACGCUGAUUCUAAAGGUCUGAUUCUAAAGCCCUUGCAUUUAACCACGGUGCACUAUUCCAGCUAGAAGUGGGGAAAGCCCACCAGGAGGACGGAGGCAGGGCAGGGAAAAUGCCUUCAGCAUAAAUCAGGAGUGUGGCCUAAAAGCUAGAAGGAAGGAAUAAAAACUCUGGAUUAGAGAAGACGAUUCUAGGCUCAAACAAACCAGUAAUUGCCACAUCAACUGCUUCACAUGGGUCUUUGGUGCCUAAAUCCCAGCAGAGACCACAUCUCUCAGAGGCCUCAUUUAAAUAUUCUGUGCAUGAUGCAGUAUCUCCAAGCACCCCACACAAUUUCCGGUGGGCAAGAAAGGUGUCCUGUAACUAACCUGAAUACACUGAGUUUUUCAUCAGUUAGUCUAGGCUUCCACAGAGUUUAUCUCCUAACUUUUCUAAGGCUUUUCUGGUACAGCUGAUAAGAUUUUCUUGCCUCGUUAAAGCGAGAUGAGAUCCAGCCAGCUGUCGAGAAAUGUACAAUGAGAUUAUACUGAGACGGCAGCACCAGAGACAAAGGCCUCUUAAGAGAUGCUGGCCUGCUGUCUACUUUUGUGGCAAAAUUCUCAGCCUCAAGAAAGAAGAUUUAAAGAGGGUAGAGACUCAAGUCGAAGGGCUAGAAGGCACUGUCAAGGAGAAAACAUAUCGGGACCCCAGCUUUUGGAGCAUCUUCUGUCUGGAACAUUGCAGUUAAGGCUGUCAUUUCAGCAGGAAAGAAUGUGGCAAAGCAAAGUAGCCCUUAGAGUUUCUGCCCAGGGUGACUUGUCACUUCCAACCACAUUUCAUUGGCCAGAGUAAGUUGCAUGACCAAGACUGACUGCAAGGGGUUAGUGACCAAUAAAAUAAUCGCCCACGUUCCACCCUUCUGCUCACCACGUUUCAUUCCCUCCGUUCCCUCCAUGUAGAACCUGCUCACCUCUAGGCAAACAAUCCAAAGUCCCAUCCAGACACUGGUUCAAGCUCCAAGUCCAGGGUUUCUGUGUGAUGCCUGCAGUUCUCUUCAGUGAAAAGAGAGAACUGGCUCGUUUUGGUUCAGAGACCUAUGAACCCAAAACGCCAGCUACCUCCCACCUCUCGGCCCUGUAUAUAUACUAUGGUGAAAUGGGACAGGGCAAUCACAGGUACACAUUUCCAUUCUGAAGAGGGAAGAAAAGGAGACACACGACAGCCACAGCUCUGUAGAUUCUGAAACCAUUCUGGGUGCACAUUUUGAGAGGUCUAUUCCCUGGGAGUGGGAAAUGUUCCUUGAGUACGCCCCAGUUCCAUCUCCUCGGAGGAAUGCCCCAGUCUAUUGUCCUCUAUGGCUCUUGGCUCUUGGGCAACCUGCAUUUUCUAAGGUUGGACCAUAUGGAAAUCGACUUUUAUGGACCAAAAUGUCCAUAGAACACUGAAUGGAAUAUUGGCAAUUUCAUAUAAGCUCAACCUAUCCUCUUCCACAUAUGAUGAAAGCCUUGGAGAAUACGGCCAGUAUGAGGGGUAAGCAGAUUUCUCAGCUAUUUUUCUUUUCUGCAAAAGUGAGGAGACCUAAGGGUGGGGGUGAGCCUUAAGCAAUCACAGUCUCUUUGAGACCAGCUGAUUGUUCUCAGUGAGGAGGAUGGCAGUGAAGAGUAAUACAACUGACUACAUUAUCUCACAACUAUCUUAGAUAAAUGUUUUUAUGAUCUAUAUUUUACAGACAAGGAAAAUGAAGCUCAGAGAGGUUAAAUACUCUGUCCAAAGUCACAUAGCCAAACAUCUUUGAGAAGUUAAAUUUAAGUGCACUGCUAUACUGCAUCCUCAAAAAGAAAAAUAAUUUCAAACUUCUAUCAUAAAGCUACAGAUGGGUUGGGAGCUGAGGCGUCCAGCACAUCUCUCUGUUAUAAUUUCCACUUAGCCAUGUGAUAUUUUCAUAUGAACUUUCAGCUUCAACUUUCUGCUAAUUCUUCCCAUGUCUCUUGAGUCAAACAGUCAAGAGAGGAAAUCUGACUGGCGCAACCAUAGGUCAUAGCCCAGGGAGUAAGGGUUCAAGGGGAAUGAUUUUUACCCCCAUAAAUACCUUCACACACACCACUCCCUUUGCCUUGGAUUACUAAGUUCUAGCUAUCUUCAGUAGUAAUGUAGCUUCAGAAAUUCUUUUAUUACAUGCACUGUGCUAAACUCAUUUAACCUUCACAACCACCACAUGAUGUGGACACCAUCAUUAUCCCCAUUUAAAGGCAGGGAAGCCAAGGCUCAGUAAGACCAAGGGAUUAGCCUUCUGAUUCACAUCUUAAGUUUCAUGGCUGGGAAUUCUGAAUGAAAGCAUUUUACUAUACUAGGAGGUCCGAUGGCACCUCUUCCUGGAAGCCUUUCCUGAUUCCCCCUUGUUCAAGUAGUUUCUCUUUACUGAACACCCCCAAACCUUUCUCCUGCUCGUAGGAUCUGAGCAAAUUUGCCUUGUGCUAUGUCUGAGAGUUGUAUGGGAUUCAUCUCUGGAUCUUCAUUUGUUCAUUCAUUCAUUCAUUGACUAUUUAUUGAACGCCAGGCCGUGCGCAAGGCACGAGGGAUAUAUUCAAAUAGAGUCCCUGCUUUCACAGAGUUUAUUGUCCGGUAGGGAAGAUAGACAUUAAACAGAUAAUGACACCGAUAAUUAUGUAAUUACAAAUGUUAUAAAUGUUAUGAAGAAGUCCAGGGAGGAUAUGAACAUUUAUAACAGGGGACCUGAUUCUAGAGGGUGGGAAUGAUGCCUCUGAGAAAGUAGUAUUUCAGCUGAGUUCUGGACAGGCACGUAGGAACUGGCAGGGCAAGAAGUGGGGGCUGGGGAGAGGGGAGAGUUUUCAAGGCACAGUUUCAGCUGGAGCCAGACCCUGAGGCUAAAAGAACUUGUGCUGAGCCUGGGUACAACAGGACAGAAGGGCAAGGGGCAGGAGGCCAGCACUUGCCUGACACUGCUGUUUGCACGAAUCUCCCUAAAAUCCAUGCUGCCAGCCCAGCCAGAGGCUUCUGGUCCUGGCUGCAGGGGCUGGAACAAGAGGUUGUGGGCAUUUUGUCUCUGGCGAGCUGGCAACCUCAUGCUCCUGGGUCAGGAGGAGGGAGGCGGCAGAGGACGUGCAUAGCACACUUUUUAUAUAUGUGGGGCCAUAAUAUUUAAGUGUCUUGGCUGUAAGCCUGUGACUAGGUCCCCCGACAGCCAAGCCUUGCUCCACACGCUCUAACAGCUGUCUGUAAAACCCGUUUAUGGAGCCUCCAUAAAUUUCCCAGCUGCUGCAAACACAGGGCUGGGGACAAAGAGUUGGCGGGAGGGAGGCGUGGGAGAGUUGCGGCUUCAGCAUCUCUGCUGGCUCGUCCUCUGGGCCCCAGCUUGCCCCUUGCCCACCCGGGGCUGCCUUACCCUAAAUUCUUUUAUUGAAGCUGAUCUUAACAUCGACCCCGUGGGGCCUGGCUGGGCAAUCCAGCUCUGCACGGACACAGGCACUUUCAAGAUUGCAGCAAAAGGUACAGUAAAUCAGAAUUAAGUGUCAUGAUAGUGAUUUGAACUGACACUGUUUUCACCUUGUCCAUUUACUGGGAAAUAUAUAACAGGAAUAGAUUGAGCCUGUCAUGUUGUACCUGAAAAAUACAGCUGUCAGGGUAGGAAAGGCAGCUGGCACCAAGGCAGGGUCCCAGCGGACGGUGGGGUGUAUGGUCAGGUCAGGGUGGGGUGGGGGUGCUUGCUGUCAGCAUCCCGCUGGAACGAAGGCCUGUCCUGGGAACACUGAGGACUCAGCCGUGCUUUUCCAAGGGCCUAUGUAAGGCAGAACCAGCCUGACCAGCGUCCGAGGCUGUGUCCCAACUGCUGUAGGGACUCCACGGCCAGCUCCAUUGCCCUGAGGGCCCAUAUUGCCCAGACUACAGGGCAUUUUUUAAAGACUUCCUAUUGGAGUAAAACAUACAUACAGAAGAGUGCACAUAUCACUUGAUUUAUCUUCACCAACUGAACACAUCUGUGAACCCAAAAUCCAGCUCAAGAAACAGAUCAGAUACCCCCAGAUGGGGCCCGGGGCCCUUCUUCCAUUUUCUACCCUCCCUCCUCCCACAAGAGGCACCACUAUUCUGGUAUCUCAAGCUGUGGACUGAUUUUCUACAUGGCAUUUUUAUAAGGGCAUUUUGGAAUUCCCACCUGUUUUUAUUUUUUGGCCCCCAAAGAACAGAGGAACCUCUCAGUUUUAAAAUAAUCUUUAAGGAAUAUAAGCAACAGAUUUUGACCCCCAAUUCAGAGGCGGGGUUGGGGAAAGGAUAGGAAGGAUCUGGGAUGGGUGUGAGAUGGGGGGCCAGGAGUCAGAGAUGAAGUCACCGAUGGGGAAGGCAGGGGCUCAGGACUGCGGCAGGCUAGGGUGCGGCUGAGCUCACACCUGGAAGAAAUUCCAGGAUUGGGGUGAGGCUCAGGAAUGGGAGGCAGGGGCAGCAUAAGGGUCAAGGAUGAGUUGAGGGUCAGGCUCAGGGAGGUUCAUAAACAGGGUAGAGACAAAAACAGGAGGGGCACAAGGAGAGAGAGGGUGAGAGGGACCCAUGGGCCCAAACACGACAUGCAAGAAGCUGAACCUUGAAGUUCUCGGGCUAAACCACUAUAAAAUGCAGAGGGAGGGCAAGAUCUUUGCAAGCAGGAUUGCUGCUGCUUCCCUCCUGACGCCCCUGCUAUGGGGUGUCUCUGGCUCCCUGACCCUCCCUGCUGGAGUCCAGGCACAUCCUGAUUGGGCGGAGAGCCAGUUGGUGGCUAUAGCACCACCAGCAGGUGGCCUCUGGUAUUACUCUUCGUGCCCUGAGCUCUGUAUGUGGCUCAGCUCAGAUUUGACCACCAACCUCCACCUCCUCUUUCCUGAUGGACCUUGAACUCUGCCCCGAGCCCAUCCAGCUUGGCUGCAGCUUGAACCCUCUGCAUAACUCAGGCCAGCUCCCAUCCCCACAGUUCCCUGAGCUUCUGGCUGUCGACUGGGGAUCUCCUGUGAGCCCAGCAUCCUAGCACUGCUGUGUCACUGAUGUGAAGUCUCUCCUGUCGAAGGACACCCUCAGGAGGAGAUGAUCCUCUCAGGUGUGGAGAGCUGUCCUUCUUGACGUCCACCUUUAAGCCAGUCCAACCCACCGUCCAACCAGGGACCACACAGCUCAGAUCAUGAGGACGGCCUCCUUCACUCAGGAGGCCCCUUGCUUCUGGUCACUUCCUGUCCAUGCACAUCUGCAUCCUGACCUCAUCUCCUCCUAAUGCUUCACAGGAGGGCCACCCUCUCCCUGGCUUUGGUCUUCAAUGCUUUGACCUUCAGCCCUGGGUUCUUUCCACCUUCGGCCGCUUUGAGGACUGUCCUCAAGACCCACAUUCAGGAGUUGGACUGGUUUCUCCCUGCGUAGAAGGCAAGACAAAUACCCCCCCCUCCUCUUGGCAAGACCUUCCUGGAGCACCCUGUCUGCACCCACGUUCUCACCUUGUUUAAUGUCGGCUCCCCAUGACACUGCAAGCUCCCCGAGGGCACGAAUGGCACCUGCCUUGUGCAUUCCCAGGACCCAGCUCAAUGCCUGGCACAAAGAUGCCAGUUUACAAACAGUGGAAUGGUUGGAUAGCGAAUGGCUAACAGCACAGGUGUGAAGGGAAGAAUAUGUAGACUUGAAUCCUGACACCUCUACUUUAAUUGCUCUAGGCCUCACUUUUCUCAUUUGUAAAAUGGGAUGAUACCACCUUACUCCAUGGGACUCUGUGAGGACUGAAUGUGGUAAGUUUGGCACCAUGUAUUA